rnacentral:rRNA from 1 species
GACGAACCGUGCGAACGUUGUUCGGAAUCACUGGGCUUAAAGGGCGCGUAGGCGGGCGAUCAAGUCAGAGGUGAAAGCCCUGGGCUCAACCCGGGAGGUGCCUUUGAAACUGGUUGUCUGGAGUUCGGGAGAGGAUGGCGGAAUUCCCAGUGUAGAGGUGAAAUUCGUAGAUAUUGGGAAGAACACCGGUGGCGAAGGCGGCCAUCUGGCCCGGAACUGACGCUGAGGCAUGAAAGCGUGGGGAGCAAAC